rnacentral:rRNA from 1 species
UGCGAGUCGUACGAGAACGGAUAUUAGCUUGCUAAUAUUGUCAGCUAAGUGGCGCACGCGGUGAGUAAUAUAUAGUUAAUCUGCCCCAAAGAAGAGAAUAAUUGUUGGAAACGACUUGUAAUGCUCUAUAUGCCUUUAUUACAUAAGUAAGCAAGGGAGACAUUUAUGGCUUUGGGAUGAGACUGUACGGUAUCAGCUAGUUGGUGAGGUAAUGGCUCACCAAGGCUAUGACAUCUAACUGGUUUGAGAGGAUGAUCAGUCACACUGGAACUGAGACACGGUCCAGACUCCUACGGGAGGCAGCAGUGGGGAAUAUUGCACAAUGGAGGAAACUCUGAUGCAGCAACGCCGCGUGGAGGAUGACACAUUUCGGUGCGUAAACUCCUUUUAUAUGAGAAGAUAAUGACGGUAUCAUAUGAAUAAGCACCGGCUAACUCCGUGCCAGCAGCCGCGGUAAUACGGGGGGUGCAAGCGUUACUCGGAAUCACUGGGCGUAAAGAGCAUGUAGGCUGGUUUGUAAGUUGGAAGUGAAAUCCUAUGGCUUAACCAUAGAACUGCUUCCAAAACUGCAGACCUAGAAUAUGGGAGAGGUAGAUGGAAUUUCUGGUGUAGGGGUAAAAUCCGUAGAGAUCAGAAGGAAUACCGAUUGCGAAGGCGAUCUACUGGGAACAUUAUUGACGCUGA